rnacentral:pre_miRNA from 13 species
UGAAAGACAUGGGUAGUGAGAUGUGAAUUACCUCUCACUAUCUUGUCUUUC